AUGGGUUCUGGGAGGAUCCAGGAACAUAAAAUCCCAUCUUUUCCCCUUGGAAACCAGCAUGUAUCUGCACACCUCACUGCACAGGGGCUCGUGGAGACACACUUGGGUUCUGGCUGGGAUGCAGAGGCGGUGUUGGAGCUCAGUGACCUCCUUGCUUUGGGUGGGAGGGAAGCAGGGGACCUCGGAACAGCACCUGCCUGUACAGCUCAUGGGCUGCCGGACACUGAGAUCGCUUGGUGUAUUAGAUCAGAUCCUUUUUGUGCCUGUAGAAGGCUCUCCCGACGGUCCCACACCCCAUUCCUGCAUCCCGGGAGCGCUGCCACUCGCAGUGACUCGGGCAGCAGGAGCCAGCCCGGCUCAGUCCUUCCCACAGAUUUGCAGCGCAGCAUUUUCCGUGCCGGGGCUGCUUCCCGGAGCAGUUUCCCGGAGCAGUUUCCCGGAGCAGUUUCCCGGAGCAGUUUCCCGGAGCAGUUUCCCGGAGCAGUUGUCACCGCGGCUCUCCUGAAUCCCCCUUUAUUGGCAAAGCUCUUCAGCUGCUGCCGCUCACGGAGCUGGCGGCCGUGUGAGAGCGGCUUCUGUGGGGGCCGGGGCUCUGGGGACCGGACCAUCCCGGGGCUCUGGGGACCGGACCAGCCCGGGGCUCUGGGGACCGGACCAGCCCGGGGCUCUGGAGACCGGACCCAUCCCGGGGCUCUGGGGACCGGACCCAUCCCGGGGCUCUGGAGACCGGACCCAGCCCGGGGCUCUCGGGACCGGACCAGCCCGGGGCUCUGGGGACCGGACCCAGCCAUCCCCUGCUCAGACCGGACUCUGAGGAAGCUCUUCCCAGCCAUUCCCUGCCUGUCCCGGGACUCCUGGGGAACCAUUCCCUGCCCGCCCGCAGCUCUCGGGGGCCGUUCCCGGCCAUCCCCUUCCCGUCCCGGGCUCUUGGAGCCUCAACCCUGCUCUGCCGGAGCUCUCGGGGUCUGUCCCCAGCCAUCCCCCGCUCUCCCGGGCGCUGCAGGGCGGUUCUGCUCCCGAGAGAGGGCAGCGCACUGCAGCUGCUGCUGCUGCCCCGCUCCGGGCUCAGCCCGAACCUGGGCUGGGGCUGGGGCUGGGGCUGGGGCUGGGGCUGGGGCUGGAGCUGGGGCUGGGGCUGGAGCUGGGGCUGGGGCUGGGGUGCCGUGCCCAGGGGAACCCCUCCCCAGCCCCCCCUGCCGCAGACUCCGAGCUCCUCUCCCCUGGAGCUGGCGGGCAGCCCCAGGGCGGAGAUCCCUGGCUGGGAGCCUGCCUGGCUGA
rnacentral:lncRNA from 1 species